UUUAAUAGCUAUAAUGAAUAAAACUUCUCUCAGUUAAUGAUAAUUGACAACAUUCAUAAUGUCAUUACUCCCUUGGGCUGGGCUUGAGAGGCAGUAAGAGCAGCUUGAACGAUGAAGUGGCAGAGAAUUCGACCCUCUAGAAUAUAGAGAUGGGCUUGGCAGAAGUUUGUGGAGUGAGUAGUAGGUAAGGUAAUUUGAAGUGGCCAUGGAAGGCGUUGGUGUGAGCAGCAGGAAAGCAUGAGGCUUCUGAAGCAGAUAGCAUGAGGAUAGAGGAAGAAUGUUACUCUAGCAAGAGGUACAAAAACAAAAACUUAAGCCUCUCCAACUAAACCAGAAAAGAUAUUGCAAAUUUAAUCCCAGAAAUACACUUUCAAAUCCCUCAUGU